rnacentral:lncRNA from 1 species
AUGGAAUGCAUUUCUUUCUUCUUUUUUUCUUUUCCACAGCACACUGUCUGCCUUCAGCUAUAGACCCCAUUCUUCAUAUCAGCACCUUGAGACCAUGUUUGCUUAGUUUAAAUUGAAUAUGUCACAUUAAAGCUAGAAAUAUAAAAAUCUAAACACUGGCUUCCCACUACUACAUGCUUGGUUUCUUAAAUUCUGCAAUGAAUGUACUUCAAAUAAAUAAAAAUAAAUUCUUCUCAUUUCAAACAAAGUAGAGUCAAAGAGUAUCCUAAUAUCCAAUACAGGAUAAUAUGCCAUCCGAACUGGAAAAAAAUAACAAAGUGAUCAGCUAUAUGUACUAGUUGGAACCAAUCAUGUAGCAAUACAGUAGAGUCUCACUUAUCCAAUACUCACUUAUCCAACGUUCUGGAUUAUCCAACGCAUUUUUGUAGUCAAUGUUUUCAAUGCAUUGUGAUAUUUUGGUGCUAAAUUCAUAAAUACAGUAAUUACUACAUAGCAUUAAUGUGUAAUGAAGUACUUUUUCUGUAAAAUUUGUUGUAUAACAUGAUGUUUUGGUGCUUAAUUUGUAAAAUUAUAACCUAUUUUGAUGUUUAAUAGGCUUUUUCUUAAUCUCUCCUUAUUAUCCAACAUAUUCGCUUAUCCAGCGUUCUGCCGGCCCAUUUAUGUUGGAUAUGUGAGACUCUACUGUAUAAUGUUAACAGGGUGUCAGCAAAAUAUCAAUUUGAACAAACAAAUCCACAGAAAGUGGUGACUUUAUGCAUGCUAUUCUGAUCAUAGCAAGUGUAGUCUAGUGAAUAGUUCUGGAUUUUAGUCUCUCACAUAUGGAUUUGUAGUCCAACACAUGUUCCUCUUUUGCAAGCUUCAGGACAAUGCUAAUACUAUAUUAGUUGUCGUUGUUGUUGCUGUGUGCCAUCAAGCCUUUUCUGACUUAUGACAACCCUCAGGUGACCUUAUUGUGGGUUUAUCUUGGCAAGAUUUGGUCAGAAGAGCUUUGCCACUGCCUUCCUCUGAGGUGGAGAGAGUGUGACCUGCCCACUCAUCUGCAAAAACAGAAUGAGGGUUGUUGCUCAUUAAAUCUAAAGAUACUAAAGACAAAGAAGUAUUGUUACACUGAGAGUUAGGCAUAGGGUUAAUUAUCUAGCUCAGUGGUUCUCAACCUGUGGGUCCCCAGAUGUUUUGGCCUUCAAGUCCCAGAAAUCCUAACAGUUGGUAAACUGGCUGGGAUUUCUGGGAGUUGUAGGCCAAAACACCUGGGGACCCACAGGUUGAGAACCACUGAUCUAGCUGAACUGCAAGGCACUACAUUUCCAAUUACGUAGAGAUUUGCAGUAUUGAUUACUGUCCACACAACUAUCUUUCUCACAAAAAUAGAGAAAUAUAUUCUGAGUAUUUUCUGCAUAGCUUAUUCCAUUUUUCCACUCUAGUUCUUAG